rnacentral:ncRNA from 1 species
UUAAGUUUUAUCUUAUAAGGUUUCUUAGAUUUGAUUAUGGUCUUAUGUAGAGUUAAGAUGGUGUUAUCUAAUUUUGAUUCAUUGAGUGGGCAAUAUUUUUUUACCCCGGCAGUUUGUCGUUUGUAUUAAUUUUGUUCCAGAAUAAUCGGCUAGACUUUGUAAACUUGUACUCUAAUUGAUGUCGUCCUUAAAUGUUUAUUAUUAAUUUACUUUUAGUUUUUGGGUAAAAUUAGAGAUUUUGUUAAUUGUUGUUUGAGGACAAAAAAUUUAGUGAGCGAGCCAGAUUAGUACCUGGUUAGAUAAAAGUUAAAAGAGCAGGAGUAAGGUUAUAUUUAAACUGUAAGAAUAUUGGCAGGUUUUUAAAUUAUCUUUGGAGGUUGAAUAGUAAUUGAGAGCCCUCAUUAUCUACUUUUAUUUUAGGCGCAUGUAUGAUCGUUUAUUUUAUUCUUGAGGAUUGUAAUUUUAGUUUAUAACUGUAAAAAUAGAUAUAUACUUGGUCUAUAUUAAAGUUUAUUUUGACCUACAAUAUUAUAUGUUUUGGAUAAUAUUUGUAGUAAAUAUUUGAAAUUGUAAAAGACAGUAAAAUCUUCUUAAUGUGGAUUUGAAGUUUAUUUAAAAACGGUACAAAUCAUCCAUCAAUUGCCCAUAGGGGAGUAAGUUGUAGUAAAGUAGAGGUAGGGGAACCUGUCUCUAGUAGUA